UUGAUUAUGGCUCAGGAUGAACGCUAGCUACAGGCUUAACACAUGCAAGUCGAGGGGCAGCAUGAACUUAGCUUGCUAAGUUUGAUGGCGACCGGCGCACGGGUGAGUAACACGUAUCCAACCUUCCGUUUACUCAGGGAUAGCCUUUCGAAAGAAAGAUUAAUACCUGAUAGUAUGGUGAGAUUGCAUGAUAACACCAUUAAAGAUUUAUUGGUAAACGAUGGGGAUGCGUUCCAUUAGGUAGUAGGCGGGGUAACGGCCCACCUAGCCUGCGAUGGAUAGGGGUUCUGAGAGGAAGGUCCCCCACAUUGGAACUGAGACACGGUCCAAACUCCUACGGGAGGCAGCAGUGAGGAAUAUUGGUCAAUGGGCGAGAGCCUGAACCAGCCAAGUAGCGUGAAGGAUGAAGGUCCUACGGAUUGUAAACUUCUUUUAUACGGGAAUAAAGUUUCCUACGUGUAGGAUUUUGUAUGUACCGUAUGAAUAAGCAUCGGCUAACUCCGUGCCAGCAGCCGCGGUAAUACGGAGGAUGCGAGCGUUAUCCGGAUUUAUUGGGUUUAAAGGGAGCGCAGACGGGAGAUUAAGUCAGUUGUGAAAGUUUGCGGCUCAACCGUAAAAUUGCAGUUGAUACUGGUUUCCUUGAGUGCAGUUGAGGCAGGCGGAAUUCGUGGUGUAGCGGUGAAAUGCUUAGAUAUCACGAAGAACCCCGAUUGCGAAGGCAGCUUGCUAAACUGUAACUGACGUUCAUGCUCGAAAGUGUGGGUAUCAAACAGGAUUAGAUACCCUGGUAGUCCACACGGUAAACGAUGGAUACUCGCUGUUGGCGAUAUACUGUCAGCGGCCAAGCGAAAGCAUUAAGUAUCCCACCUGGGGAGUACGCCGGCAACGGUGCAACUCAAAGGAAUUGACGG
rnacentral:rRNA from 1 species